UACGGAGGGUGCAAGCGUUGUUCGGAUUUACUGGGCGUAAAGGGCACGCAGGCGGUUUUUUAAGUCAGAUGUGAAAGGUACCGGCUCAACCGGUGACAUGCAUUUGAAACUGCAUGACUUGAGGGCAGAAGAGGGGAGUGGAAUUCCUAGUGUAGCGGUGAAAUGCGUAGAUAUUAGGAGGAACACCAGUGGCGAAGGCGACUUACUGGACUGUAACUGACGCUGAGGCACGAAAGCGUGGGGAGCAAACAGG
rnacentral:rRNA from 1 species